CCCCGGAGGGGGAUAACCGGGAGAAAUCCCGACUAAUACCGCGUAACGCCGCGGGGCUGCAUGGCCCCGCGGCCAAAGGAAGCGAUUCCGGCGGGGGAUGGGCAUGCGGCGCAUUAGCUAGUCGGCGGGGUAACGGCCCACCGAGGCGACGAUGCGUAGGGGUUCUGAGAGGAAGGUCCCCCACACUGGUACUGAGACACGGACCAGACUCCUACGGGAGGCAGCAGUGAGGAAUAUUGGUCAAUGGGCGGGAGCCUGAACCAGCCAAGUCGCGUGAGGGAAGACGGUCCUACGGAUUGUAAACCUCUUUUGCCGGGGAGCAACGGGGUCCUUGCGAGGGCCCAAUGAGAGUACCCGGAGAAAAAGCAUCGGCUAACUCCGUGCCAGCAGCCGCGGUAAUACGGAGGAUGCGAGCGUUAUCCGGAUUUAUUGGGUUUAAAGGGUGCGUAGGCGGGCUGUUAAGUCAGCGGUCAAAUGUCGGGGCUCAACCCCGGCCUGCCGUUGAAACUGGCGGCCUCGAGUGGGCGAGAAGUAUGCGGAAUGCGUGGUGUAGCGGUGAAAUGCAUAGAUAUCACGCAGAACUCCGAUUGCGAAGGCAGCAUACCGGCGCCCGACUGACGCUGAGGCACGAAAGCGUGGGUAUCGAACAGGAUUAGAUACCCUGGUAGUCCACGCAGUAAACGAUGAAUGCUAGCUGUCCGGGGCUUCCGCUCUGGGUGGCACAGCGAAAGCGUUAAGCAUUCCACCUGGG
rnacentral:rRNA from 1 species